CCUAUCAGUGUUAAUUAUUGCCAUGGAAACCACCAAUUGUUUCAUAGAUUGAGUCUACUUUUUGGCACUUUUUCUCCUUCGUUACAUUUUGUGAUAUUGCGUACAAUAGAGGAGAAGAAAAGAGAACUCCAGCAAGAAAGAGUUCUGGAGAAAGGGCUGCAGGAAAAAUGAUUUAUCUAGCAAACAUAUCUAUUCAAGCAAGUCAAGGUUUUGUGAAAUCUCAGAGACCAAUGGCCAUCAAGUGUUUGAUAAAAUGUCUGUGUAAAACUUGGGAUAGCAGAGAAAACACGGAGAGAAUGAUCGCACAGGGACCAAAGGGGAUGUUGCUGACACCAUUAACGGUGAUUCUGGCAAGUGAAUUUAUUAUGGGAAUGAUGGAUCUGAGAUGAACUUGGCUAAUGUGGUGGCUUAUUCUCUCCUAGGAGUGCUAAUGGGCUUGUCAAGAGUAUUGGAGCUGGUGGAGUUGAGAGCAGAAGUCAGGAAACUUUUGUGGGUUCUGGGGUUGGAAAAGAAAUUGUCCCUUAGUCAUCUAAGCCAGCUCAAGAGAAGAAGCCCCAGGUUUCUACUGCUAAUGAAACUUUUGGCUUAAGACCCAAAAAUCUAUCCAAAUUGAGAUAGAAUGUACCAUUAGAUGCCCAUCAUGCAAGGAAGAAACUGGAGUUGAAGCGAGGUAAAUGUUAUUAUUUACUUUUCUAAUGCUAGAAUUAGUAAAUCAUUUACAACAAUAUAGCUUCUAAUUUGCUUCAUGUAAUGGCAAAAUACGAUAGGUGUCGCUUGGGAUUUGUGGUAAAUGAUGUAACAGGAUCUUUACAUGCUGCAAUUUUCAGUCCAUAUGCUUAGAAAUUGUUAUCAUAUACCGCUCUUCAUCUAGCUGGCUGAUGACCAAGUAAGUUCAACUCCAUGAGCUAUAACUUGAUGAGUUAUUGCAUAAUGAUGAGUGCAACUUGAUAAAUGUGCUUAAAUGCUCUUAGAAGAACAAUUGUAGGAAAGGAUUGAAAUAUUAUACUAAAAAGUCGUAUUUUUCCUUAAAGAAUUAAUGAGGUUUUGUUCAACUUAUUUGAUCCAUUUUAUAGCUUUAAGUUUUGCUUAUUGGAUUAAUUCUUUUGUAUGACAUUUUAUCAUAAGUUUACCCUUACAAAUUCAUGUAGAGCUUUUGAUCUUGACUCUUAAGAUAUCCUAAAGCCUUAUAAGAGCACUCUUUUGGUCAGUUGGAAAUAAUUGAAAAAGAUAAGCUGUCUCAGUUAUGGCGUAGGCAUAAGUGACUUAUAAAUUUCUACUAUUUGGUUUUUGACUGAGGCUGCCAUAAAAAAAUGACUCUGUAUGCUUUAAUAAGUUAUUUGUAUCUAACGUAUCUGCUUAUCUGUUAAAAUUUUAGAAUGCUACCUUAGUUUUGGAUUUUAAAAAGCUAUAUUGCUUCACAAUUGGAAAUUGCACAGUCAACAUGUAAUUGUUGAUUAAAUAUUUCAAACAAAUAUUUCGAACAAAGUUCACUAAUGAAAUUAAGGAUGCUACAUAUUUUGCUAAACUAGCCUCUCAUGUUGAGGGGGUUACAAUGGUUUGUUUCAUCCAUGCUUUUAAUUUGGAAAAUCCAAGGACAAAAGCACAGUGAAGAACAACACUAUCAAAGCAUACACUGUUGAGGUUGGAGGUCAAAUUUUGCUAGCCAUCCCAAAUGAAGAUCACAAAGAUGUUCCCAAAAUUUCAUAUCAAUGCUCAAGAUCCUUUAUGAUGGCGUUCUCAUAAAGAACUUGAUGGAGUAAAUGCAAGUUAGCAAUCUAAUUAGGGGGCAAUUAGUAUUUCAAUUUAUAGUUGUCUAGGAUAUAGCACUACUAGAUAGUUUAUG